rnacentral:rRNA from 1 species
GAUGAACGCUGGCGGCGUGCCUAAUACAUGCGAGUCGAGCGAACAGAUAAGGAGCUUGCUCCUUUGACGUUAGCGGCGGACGGGUGAGUAACACGUGGGUAACCUACCUAUAAGACUGGGAUAACUUCGGGAAACCGGAGCUAAUACCGGAUAACAUUUGGAACCGCAUGGUUCUAAAGUGAAAGAUGGUUUUGCUAUCACUUAUAGAUGGACCCGCGCCGUAUUAGCUAGUUGGUAAGGUAACGGCUUACCAAGGCAACGAUACGUAGCCGACCUGAGAGGGUGAUCGGCCACACUGGAACUGAGACACGGUCCAGACUCCUACGGGAGGCAGCAGUAGGGAAUCUUCCGCAAUGGGCGAAAGCCUGACAGAGCAACGCCGCGUGAGUGAUGAAGGGUUUCGGCUCGUAAAACUCUGUUAUUAGGGAAGAACAAAUGUGUAAGUAACUGUGCACGUCUUGACGGUACCUAAUCAGAAAGCCACGGCUAACUACGUG